CACAUGAGCAUACAGUACUGGGGCCUCCCAGUCUCCUGCCCCGCCACAACCUCAACAUCCGGAACUGAAAGUGAAAGUGUGCGGCCGGACGGAUUAGAGCGAGGGACCGUGUCUGACAGCGUGGAGCGGAGCAUAGUAGAAGUGGCACCGGCCCGGGACAGCUGCUCCUCCCAUGCCCAGCUCUGGUCACCAUGAGUCUUGCGCUACAUGAGCUGCUGCUCUGCUGCCGGCAGAUAGAAACUGACAAGGCCACUGAAAGAAAGAAAGAAAUCGUGAAGUUUCGGAGGCUUCUUCGAGAUCCAGAAACCGUUCAGCAGUUAGAUCAGAAUUCUGACAGGCGGCAAGGCAAACAACUCAAUUGGGAUACAGUGUUCAGGUUUUUGCAGAAAUAUGUCUACAAAGAGACAGAAAGCAUUAAAUCUGCAAAGGCCAGUGUUUCUCAGGCUACACAAAGCAAUCGGCGGAAGAAGAUGCAAGAAAUUAGUUGCGUGGUCAAAGAUUUCAUCCGAUGUGCAAAUAAGCGAGCCCCAAGGUUAAAAUGCACAGAGCUUUUAUUGCAUGUGACCAACACUGUGAAAGACCCAACAUCAUGUUCAGCUUAUGGGACAGACUAUAGCAGCAUCUUGCUAAAAGAUAUCCUGUCUGUCCGCAAAUAUUGGUGUGAGAUAACUUUCCAGCAAUGGGAAGACUUACUGACGCUCUACUUCAGCUUGUACCUGAAACCAGAGAGCACUGUGAACCGCUUGUUGGUUGCAAGAAUUAUUCACACUCUGACCAGAGGAUGCUGCCAGCAGACAGACGGACUUCACUCCAUGUUCUUCCAGUUCUUCUCAAAGACAAUGAAGAGAGUCAGGGAAGAGAAAAAUCCACCUGGCCUGGACCAGAUCCUCGCUGCUCUGAAUGUGUUCCUUACCAGCGCCUCCGUGAAUUGCCGUAUGCGAGUGAGCAAGCUGGGGGAAGACCUGUUCUCGACUGUACUUCGCAUCUGGACAAUGCAAAGGCCUAAAGAUGCACUCAAGGAGGAGAUUGUGGAGUUCUUUAGGUUGCUUCUCAGAAUUCAUCAUCCUAAAGGAGCCAAGACUGUAGAUGAAGGUGCUUAUGCUUUUGAUCCGGACAGAUGGAAGAGGAACUUGUACAGCCUAUAUGACACUCUGGUAAAUGAGAUCAGCCAGAUAGGCAGCAGAGGGAAAUAUUCCUCAGGCUCCCGAAACAUUGCAGCCAAGGAAAACUUGGUUGAGUUGAUGGCGGACAUUUGUCAUCAGCUGUUCACUGAAGACACUCAGGUUCUGGAUAUCACACAGGCUUCUUUCCUCGUGACCCAAAGGGAACCGUCUGGAGCCGCCAGCAAACGCAGAAGGAUUGAACUCGGAUGGGAAGUGCUCCGUGACAACCUGCAGAAGUCACAUAAUGAUUUUGAUAUCAUUCCUUGGUUACAAAUUGCGACCUGCUUGAUCGCUCGAUACCCAGCGAGCUUGCCUAGCAGUGAGCUGACUCCAUUACUGACCGUUCUACACCAGUUACUUGCCCAGCAGAGACGAGGCGAGAGGGCUACCUAUGUGCUUCACUGCCUGAAAGAGGUCGCUGUUUGUCUAAAGCAAAAAACAGAUGUGAAGAUCACACCAAAGUCCGAUCUGCACAAGCUGUGGUCCAAAGUCUGGGCUGUUACCCUGCGCAGCAUCAGUUCUCCUCAGACAGAAGAGGAAAGCUUUGCUUUACUGGCUUCCAUCUUACAAGGAGGUUUAAUACCGGCAGACACAGAUUUCUGGAAGAUCUUUUCAGGAGCUGCUGCUAAACCGUCAAGCCCUGGGGUACAUUGCUUGGCUCUGGCCCUGACGUCCUAUUGUCUCCCGGAGCACAUCAGUGUGGGUUUCGAUAAUCCCAUGCAUGAAGCCAAUGGCAGUCAAAGCUCCCUGAAAGAAGAAAUCAUAAAAUGGUUAUUGUUUGGUCACCUGGAUGAUGAAGUGGAAGACACCAAUGAGCUUUCUCCAGUUAUAACCAAAGACUUUUCCAACCCUGCUCUUCAGAAAAUUCUUGUGAGCCUGACAAUGAAGGACUCCAGAGCUGCUAUGAAAUUUUUCAGAAGCCUUUCAGAGUGCUCAUACCAUAACAAAAGGGAAGAUGAAGCCAGUUUUGCAGAUGCAGAAGAACUAUACUUGCAUACCUCAUUUAGUGAGAUUCCGGGGGUGCCUCCUGUGGGUCCAAUGGAAGCUGACAAAGAUGGAAGCUCUCCCUGCCUGACUGUGAAUUUAGCUAUAAGAGAGAAACUGGAGCGAGACCUGCUCACCCUAUCUGAGCAGCAACUCAACUCCUACUCCUCUGAGGCCACUCCGCCUGUCAACCUUGUCCAAUGCGCUUGUCUGUUGACUGGGGUCUUGGGUUGUUACCUGUACGCAGAUAUUAUCACUGAGGAGGAUGCUCUCCAAUCCCAUUUAUUUCAAAAAGCCAAGAUGCUGAUGCAGUGUGCUGGGGAGAGCACUUCAUUCCUGAAAUCUAAACUGAAUGAGGACGCCAAGAUCAGCUCCCUGGCAGCGCUGAUAACUCAGUGUGUGGGCUGUAUAUGUAACUGUACAAAGGACACUCCCAUUCGGUUCCUCACAGAUCUUUUUCUACAUCUUUUUACCCCAAGAAUGUUAAAUGACCUGACAGACAUCGGUAAACUUUUACUAACCAGCACUGGCAGCUCAGUAGAGACCAGUGAGCUUGAUCUAAUAGGAGAUGAUGCCGAAUCCAGAAUGGAAACAGAAGAUCAGGGAGCUAUGGACCUAUUUGAUGAUCACUGUGUUGCUGAACCAGCAGAAAACAUAGAGUAUGGAGAGCUUCAGCAUGUCACUGGUGCAUUGAGCCCCCUGUCUGAGGAGCAUCUCACCAAACAAGAAGCUGUCCUGCUGCAGACCCUGGAGUUCCUUUGCCUUUGUACCACUGCUGCUCAGAAUCACACGGUCAACUUCCGACCUUCUGAUACCCGCAGAAAGCUGUUAGCCCUGAUUGAUAAUAACUCUUUGGAUAUAAGCAAACCCCUGCACCUACAUGUGUACUUACUGCUCUUAAAUGAACUGCCCAAAGCUGACGCUCCACUGCCUGUUGAUGAAAUUAUUACUUUGCUGAGGCCACUAAUUGAAGUGUGUUCUUCCUACCGCCGAGACCAGGAUGUCUGUGCAGCGAUACUAAAGAAACUGCUCCCUGUGGUCAACUGUUUGGGGCAAGACCCGAUGGACACAGAGGAAACAUACGAUGCUCAGGGGCAACUCCUGAAUGUUAUUCAGGCAUUCUGGAUUUUAGCGAAGGAUGGAAAAUAUACUGCAGUGGUCCGUGCAUCUCUGGUGAACUGCAUGAAGGCCCUACUCAAGGUUGAUCCACAGUCUAAGUGGGCAAUUCUUACAGUUGAUGACCAGGACGUUCCUGUGAGAGACGCGUUCCCAGCAUUUCUGGCGGACUCUCAUCACCAGGUUCGCUUUCAUACUGCAGUGUCCAUAAGCAGAUUGUUCCAGGAUGUAAAAGCACAAGCCCUUCCACUACAGCUACAGCAGAAGGCAUUUGAUAACAUCUACCUGAAGGUUCAAGAAGGAAUGCGCUAUCUGUCUCGCAGCAGCUCUGACCCAGAUGAGGUCCCUGAUGAGACCUGGAACCGAAGGGCGACGUUGCUGAUGUUGAUAUCGGCGAUUCUGCGCUGCAGUCCAGUGUGUGAGAAGCAGGCUCUGUUUGCCAUCUGUCAGUCUGUGAAAGAGAAUGGGUUGGACCCUCAGCUUAUCAGAAAGGAACUAGGGAGGGUUUCUACUGCUCUGGGAUACAGAGGUGUAAAGGAUUUCAUGGCUUCCCAUUUAGACUAUCUGAUUCUUGAAUGGCUGAGAAUGAAGGUUCCUGGGUACAGUCUAUCCACGUUCCCAUACAUCUUGCUAAAUUACUCCUCUCUCAAUGAGUUUUACAGAGCCUGUUACAAAGUUCUUGUCCCUCAUCUGGUGAUACGGAAUGAAUUUGAAGAGGUGAAGUCCCUUGCUCAGUGCAUCGAGGAGGACUGGAAGCUUCUGCUUGCUGAUUGCUUUCCCAGAAUUCUAGUCAACAUCCUCCCUUACUUUGCCUCUGAAUGUGCUGAUGAUAAAGAGAUGCUGCAGAAGAGAGAGGUUGCUACUAAAGUGUAUGACUUGCUGCAGGAUGAGAGCUGUUUGGGCAAGCAGCAAAUCGACAACUUGUUCUUCCGAAACCUUCCAGAGAUUGUGGUGGAGCUGCUGAUGACACUACAUGAAACUUCCAGCAGCCAUGCCACAGAAGACCCUGAUCUGCUACAGUUUGCAGGGGAACUGGAUCCAGCCCCAAAUCCCCCUUACUUUCCAUCAUCUGUUAUCAAGGCAACUUUGCACUACAUCAGCAGCUGCCACAAAAGCAAAAUGAAAAGUCUAGUGACAAUACUGUCCAAGACCCCGGAUUCCUUUCAGAAGAUAUUGCUGGCUAUAUGCAAUGAGGCGGCAGAAACAAACAACGUGUACAAGAAGCACCGCAUUCUUACCAUCUACCACCUGUUUGUCAAUCUGCUUCUUGCGGAAAUUAAAGAUGGUCUCGGCAAUGCUUGGGCAUUUGUUCUAAGAGACGUCAUUUACACCAUAAUCCAUCACAUCAACAGCAGACCUGCACACGGCAAUAUGGAUGACGUAUCUACACGCAGUCUCUUGCUUUGCCUCGAUCUGUUGCACCGAGUCUGCCGAGCUGCUGUCACUCACUGCGAAGAUGCUUUAGAGUGUCACCUCCAUGUCGUUGUGGGCAGUCUGAUACCUUUGGCAAACAGCCAGGAAAGCAUUCAAGAAAAGGUGUGCGACUUGCUGAACUUUCUGGUGAUAGAAAACAAGGACAAUGAGAAUCUCUAUCAUACCAUUAAACUUUUGGAUCCUUUCCCCGAUAUUCCUCUCUUUAAGAACCUGCGCCAGGCCCAUCAGAAAAUCAAAUACAGCAAAGGUCCAUUCUCUCUCCUAAAGGAAAUUCAGAAUUUUCUCUCUGUUAGCGUCUGUGACUCCCUUCCACUAACCAGACUAGAAGGACUGAAUGACCUGAGAAAACAAUUAGAGCAACAUAAGGAUCAGAUAAAAGAGCUUGUGAGAGAUUGCCAAGGAACCCCCCAGGACAGUGUUAUAGCAAGUCUAGUAGUGAAUCUGUUACAGCUCUCCAAAAAUGCAGUGCAUCAGUCUAAUGGGAAAGAGGUUCUGGAAGCUGUUGGCAGUUGCCUUGGAGAACUAGGACCUAUUGACUUCUCUACCAUCGCUCUGCAGCACAAGAAAGAUUCUGUCUAUCUAAAAGCAGACAAAGUCUUUGAAGAAAAAGAGCUUCAGUGCGUUCUUGUCAUGCUGACAUUAAUAAACAAUGCCCUGACGGAUCACUGCAUCCAGGUUCGAUCGGCAGCUGCCACCUGUUUAAAAAAUAUUUUGGCCACGAAAACCGGUGCCAUGUUUUGGGAGGCCUGUAAGGACAAAGGAGAACCCAUGCUUCUCUAUCUGCAACCGUUCCGUGCUCCGAAGAAAAAAUUUCUGGAAGUGGAAGAGAUUCAGAGAGAAGGUGCUUUGGAAAGCCUGGAUGACCCUGGUAUCUGGAUCCCACAGAAUGAAAACCAUGAGAGUUGGAUAAAACAUCUGACUUGCACUUUGCUGGAGAGCGGAGGGGUAAAGAGUGAAGUACUUCUCUUGCUAAAGCCCAUGUGUGAGGUGAAAGCAGAUUUCUGUCAGGCAGUGGUGCCGUACAUCGUACACAACAUUCUUCUGAAUGACUCCAAUCAAACAUGGAGGACUCUUCUGUCAAAGAAUGUCCAGAGGUUUUUCACUUCAUGUUGCCGAUCUCUGCCGAGUUCCAGCAGAUCAGCUACACCAGCGAGUUCUGAUUCAGAAUCCGAGGGAGUGGCACGAGGGGCCGUGGAUAUUGCUUCCAGAAGGACGAUGCUCACCAUGGUGGAACACUUGCGCAAACAAAGGAGGCCGGUGUCAGGAACAGCAUUUGAUGAUAAUUUCUGGUUGGACUUAAACUACCUAGAAGUGGCAAUGGCUGUCCAGUCCUGCGCGGCGCACUUCACUGCUUUGCUCUACUCCGAAAUCUACACCGAUAAGGUCAAACAGGACGGCGAACAGCGCACGAGCGCAAACAGGUCCAAUGCACGCAAAUGCCUGAAAUUUGAAGAAGGAAGUCAGACAUUGGAUAUCACUGGCCUGAGUGAGAAAAGCAAAGAGGAGACUGGGAUAAGCUUACAGGAUCUAUUGAUGGAUAUCUACAGGAGCAUUGGAGAGCCUGACAGCUUGUACGGCUGCGGUGGUGGAAAAAUGCUCCAUCCUCUUGCAAGAAUCCGCACUUAUGAACAUGAGGCCAAAUGGGGAAAAGCACUGGUGACCUUUGACCUGGAAAUGAACCUCCCGCCAGUCACCCGCCAGGCAGGGAUUAUGCAGGCUUUACAGAACUUUGGCCUCUGCCAUAUGCUCUCCACGUAUUUACGAGGGCUCGAACACGAAAACGCAGAAUGGUCCUCGGAACUGCAGGAAAUCCAUUUCCAGGCCGCCUGGAGGAACAUGCAGUGGGAUGACAGUUUACCAACAAAGAACGAGACCUCCGGACCUGGUUACCACGAAUCUCUGUAUCGGGCCGUACAGUCACUGAGAGACAAGGAAUUCUGUGGCUUUCACGAUCAUAUAAAAUAUGCCAGGGUUAAGGAGGUGGAAGAGCUAUGCAGUGGCAGCCUGGAAUCUGUGUACUCUCUCUACCCCGCACUGUGUAGGCUACAAGCUAUCGGGGAACUUGCAAGUGUGGGGCAGAUGUUCUCCAGGUCCAUUACUGAUGAUGGGUUAAAGGAUACUUUCUUAAAGUGGCAGAGGCAAUCCCAACUCCUAAAAGACAGUGAUUUUGAAUUCCUUGAGCCCGUCCUGUCCCUACGGUCUGUGAUUUUGGAAACCCUGCUGCAGGAGGAGAAGAAGCAACCCAGCCAGGAGAGCCUGAAGGACAUCCUAACUAAACACCUGCUGGAUUUAUCCAGAAUAGCUCGGAGUGCCGGAAACACACAGCUUCCAGAGAAAGCCAUGUUUCAGAUCAAGCAGUAUAACCCCAGUCAGCUCGGUGUAUCUGAAUGGCAGCUGGAAGAGGCUCAGAUCUUCUGGGAUAAAGAAGAGCCAAGCUUAGCACGGGAGAUCCUCAAACAGAUGAUUAAUAAGCUGGAAAUAAAGAGCUUUGAGGUUGAGAAUGAUUCCAGGCUUCGCCUGCUCUAUGCCGAGAGUCUGAGGUUAUGUGGAAAGUGGCUGGCAGAAACCUGCUUGGAGAGUCCCACAGUCAUCAUGCAGAAUUAUCUGGAAAAGGCUGUGGAAUUUGCUGGAUACUCUGACGGGGCUGGAGAAAAGCUGCAGGAGGGCAGAAUGAAGGCCUUCCUGUCUCUAGCUCGCUUUUCCGAUGCCCAGUAUCAGAGGAUUGACAACUACAUGAAGUCCUCUGAGUUUGAGAACAAACAGGCCUUGCUGAGAAAAGCCAAGGAGGAAGUUGGUCUAAUAAAGCAGCACAAGGUUCAGAAUAAUAGGUACACAGUGAAGGUUGAGCGAGAGCUACAGUUGGAUGAAUGUGCUAUUUUGGCCCUGAGAGAGGACAGAAAGCGGUUCCUGUGCAAAGCAGUGGAGAACUAUAUCAGCUGUCUUGUUUCUGGGGAGGAACACGACAUGUGGAUCUUUCGCCUGUGCUCCCUCUGGCUGGAGAAUUCAGCAGUGUCAGAUGUGAACAGUAUGAUGAGGCAAGAUGCCCAGAAGAUCCCAUCCCACAAGUUCCUGCCUCUGAUGUACCAACUGGCGGCUCGUAUGGGCACUAAGAAGAUGGGAAACCCAGGAUUUCACGACGUCCUUAAUAAUCUGAUUGGUAGGAUUUCCAUGGACCACCCACAUCACACGCUGUUCAUUAUCCUGGCUCUGGCCAAUGCAAAUAAAGACGAUCAGUUGAUGAAAGUGGAGGCUGUGAAACGGAGCCGGCUCACCAAGAAUGCCCCCAAACAGAUCUCCCAGCUUGAUAAGGAACGGAUGGAAGCCGCACGUCACAUUGUCGACACAAUAAAGAAGCGGAGGACCGACAUGGUGCGAGAUGUUGAGAGACUCUGUGAUGCGUAUAUAACCCUUGCCAACAUGGACGCCAACCAGUGGAAAUCUCAGAGAAAUGCCAUUCCCAUCCCAUCAGAUCAACCCAUCACUAAACUGAAUAAACUACAUGAUGUUGUUAUUCCAACUAUGGAGAUCAAGGUCGACCCCAGUGGGAAGUAUGAAAACCUGGUGACAAUUGUGUCUUUCAAACCCGAGUUCCGCCUGGCCGGGGGCCUUAAUCUCCCCAAAAUAAUUGACUGUGUCGGCUCUGAUGGGAAAGAGAGGAGACAACUUGUUAAGGGUCAAGAUGACCUGAGACAAGAUGCAGUCAUGCAGCAAGUGUUCCAGAUGUGCAAUACAUUGUUACAGCGCAACAGCGAGACGAGGAAGAGAAAGCUCACUAUCCGCAGGUACAAGGUGGUUCCCUUGUCCCAGAGAAGUGGAGUGCUGGAGUGGUGCACCGGGACCGUUCCCAUUGGAGAAUAUCUUGUCAAUGACAAAGACGGUGCACACAAACGUUACCGCCCAGGGGAUUAUGGCAGUUUGCAGUGUCAAAGGAAAAUGAUGGAGGUGCAGAGAGGACGCUUCGAAGAGAAGUACCAGAUGUUUCUCAACGUUUGCGAGAAUUUCCGCCCAGUCUUCCGCUAUUUCUGCAUGGAGAAAUUUCUGGAUCCGGCCAUGUGGUUUGAGAAACGUUUGGCCUACACUCGCAGCGUGGCCACGUCCUCCAUAGUUGGAUACAUUGUCGGGCUUGGAGACAGACACGUCCAGAACAUCCUAAUAGACGAGGAGAGCGCGGAACUCGUACACAUUGACUUAGGAGUGGCUUUCGAGCAGGGGAAAAUUCUGCCCACGCCUGAAACUGUUCCCUUCCGGCUCACAAGAGAUAUAGUGGAUGGGAUGGGCAUUACUGGAGUUGAAGGGGUAUUCAGAAGGUGCUGUGAGAAGACCAUGGAAGUUAUGAGGAACAACCAAGAAGCUCUGCUGACCAUUGUUGAGGUUCUACUCUAUGAUCCACUCUUUGAUUGGACAAUGAAUCCCCUCAAAGCUCUGUACUUGCAACAGGAUGAAGUGGAUCUCAAUGCCACCCUUGGUGGUGAUGACCCAGAAUGCAACAGAAAUUCAUGUGACAGCCAGAGCGUCAAUAAAGUGGCAGAACGUGUUCUCCUUCGCCUUCAGGAAAAGCUCAAAGGAGUAGAAGAGGGGAUGGUUCUGAGUGUGGGGGGACAAGUCAAUCAUCUUAUCCAGCAGGCCAUGGACCCAAAGAAUCUCAGCAGGCUGUUCCCUGGAUGGAAGGCCUGGGUAUAAGUGAUGGAAUGGAGGAUAUACUGUAGGCUUAGGUGCAACUGCACAACAAUGCAGCGAGGAAGUCCUCAUUACCCAGUGCAUGCCUAUAGUGUACUUAAUCUAACCAUGUGGUUGGUAGAACAGUUGCUGAACUUUCAGCUUCUUGGUGACAUCACAAAAAAACAUUUAAUGCCAAAAUGUGCCUAACAAAGCAAAAUAGAAUCGUAAUCCAGUCUCCAAUAUAAGUCCAUGAUAUUAUCUGUGAUUAUAUAUACUGAAAGCAGCAUCCCUCUGCCCCGUGAUAUUAUCUGCACUGCUGGUUCUUAUUCUCUCUAGAGCAGAAGUCCCCAACCUUUUUUAUCCAUGAGCCACAUUCAAAAAAAAAAAAAAUUGGGGAGCAACACAGGCAUACAAAAAUGU